rnacentral:tRNA from 1 species
UAGCUUAUAUUUAAAGCAUUGUUUUGAAGCAACAAAGAAUUACACAAAUCAAAUUAUUAA